CGCGGGCUGCGCGGUUGGUGUGACAAUCAUCCUCGGGGCCUUACCGAUUCUUGAGGGAGCUGUCCCUGUCCUUGCCCGUGGGCUUGGGCACACGGCGCCCACCUACGCUGUAGGUUCCAGGAUCGAUAAAACUCGCACGGCUUGUGCGGCUCGCCA
rnacentral:other from 1 species